GAUGAACGCUGGCGGCGUGCCUAAUACAUGCAAGUCGAGCGAACAGACAAGGAGCUUGCUCCUUUGACGUUAGCGGCGGACGGGUGAGUAACACGUGGGUAACCUACCUAUAAGACUGGGAUAACUUCGGGAAACCGGAGCUAAUACCGGAUAAUAUUUCGAACCGCAUGGUUCGAUAGUGAAAGAUGGUUUUGCUAUCACUUAUAGAUGGACCCGCGCCGUAUUAGCUAGUUGGUAAGGUAACGGCUUACCAAGGCGACGAUACGUAGCCGACCUGAGAGGGUGAUCGGCCACACUGGAACUGAGACACGGUCCAGACUCCUACGGGAGGCAGCAGUAGGGAAUCUACCGCAAUGGGCGAAAGCCUGACGGAGCAACGCCGCGUGAGUGAUGAAGGUCUUCGGAUCGUAAAACUCUGUUAUUAGGGAAGAACAUACGUGUAAGUAACUAUGCACGUCUUGACGGUACCUAAUCAGAAAGCCACGGCUAACUACGUGCCAGCAGCCGCGGUAAUACGUAGGUGGCAAGCGUUAUCCGGAAUUAUUGGGCGUAAAGCGCGCGUAGGCGGUUUUUUAAGUCUGAUGUGAAAGCCCACGGCUCAACCGUGGAGGGUCAUUGGAAACUGUAAAACUUGAGUGCAGAAGAGGAAAGUGGAAUUCCAUGUGUAGCGGUGAAAUGCGCAGAGAUAUGGAGGAAUACCAGUGGCGAAGGCGACUUUCUGGUCUGUAACUGACGCUGAUGUGCGAAAGCGUGGGGAUCAAACAGGAUUAGAUACCCUGGUAGUCCACGCCGUAAACGAUGAGUGCUAAGUGUUAGGGGGUUUCCGCCCCUUAGUGCUGCAGCUAACGCAUUAAGCACUCCGCCUGGGGAGUACGACCGCAAGGUUGAAACUCAAAGGAAUUGACGGGGACCCGCACAAGCGGUGGAGCAUGUGGUUUAAUUCGAAGCAACGCGAAGAACCUUACCAAAUCUUGACAUCCUUUGACCACUCUAGAGAUAGAGCCUUCCCCUUCGGGGGACAAAGUGACAGGUGGUGCAUGGUUGUCGUCAGCUCGUGUCGUGAGAUGUUGGGUUAAGUCCCGCAACGAGCGCAACCCUUAAGCUUAGUUGCCAUCAUUAAGUUGGGCACUCUAAGUUGAUUGCCGGUGACAAACCGGAGGAAGGUGGGGAUGACGUCAAAUCAUCAUGCCCCUUAUGAUUUGGGCUACACACGUGCUACAAUGGACAAUACAAAGGGCAGCGAAACCGCGAGGUCAAGCAAAUCCCAUAAAGUUGUUCUCAGUUCGGAUUGUAGUCUGCAACUCGACUACAUGAAGCUGGAAUCGCUAGUAAUCGUAGAUCAGCAUGCUACGGUGAAUACGUUCCCGGGUCU
rnacentral:rRNA from 1 species